UACGAAGGGGGCUAGCGUUGCUCGGAAUCACUGGGCGUAAAGGGUGCGUAGGCGGGUCGCUAAGUCGAGGGUGAAAUCCUGGAGCUCAACUCCAGAACUGCCUUCGAUACUGGCGAUCUUGGAGUCCGGGAGAGGUGAGUGGAACUCCGAGUGUAGAGGUGAAAUUCGUAGAUAUUCGGAAGAACACCAGUGGCGAAGGCGGCUCACUGGCCCGGUACUGACGCUGAGGUGCGAAAGCGUGGGGAGCAAACAGG
rnacentral:rRNA from 1 species